rnacentral:sRNA from 1 species
AAAUACUAGGGUCAAAAUAUCUGAACCCAUAUGAGCUUGCUCAUAGUUGGGUAAAUGACCAUGUGCCCCGCCCUGAUAUUCGCAUAAAAGUGGGAUGAUAGCUCCACGAUAUGAGAAUAUUGGGUAGUAUUGUCAGAUGUUAAUGUCUGUCACUGACUGAUAUUA